rnacentral:rRNA from 1 species
GGGGUCCUACGGGGGGCAGCAGUCGAGAAUCAUUCACAAUGGGGGAAACCCUGAUGGUGCGACGCCGCGUAGGGGAAUGAGGGUCUUCGGAUUGUAAACCCCUGUCAUGUGGGAGCAAAUUAAAAAGAUAGUACCACAAGAGGAAGAGACGGCUAACUCUGUGCCAGCAGCCGCGGUAAUACAGAGGUCUCAAGCGUUGUCCGGAAUCACUGGGCGUAAAGCGUGCGUAGGCUGUUUCGUAAGUCGUGUGUGAAAGGCGCGGGCUCAACCAGCGGACGGCACAUGAUACUGCGAGACUCGAGUAA